rnacentral:rRNA from 1 species
CGGCGGACGGGUGAGUAAUGCCUAGGAAUCUGCCUGGUAGUGGGGGACAACGUUUCGAAAGGAACGCUAAUACCGCAUACGUCCUACGGGAGAAAGCAGGGACCUUCGGGCCUUGCGCUAUCAGAUGAGCCUAGGUCGGAUUAGCUAGUUGGUGAGGUAAUGGCUCACCAAGGCGACGAUCCGUAACUGGUCUGAGAGGAUGAUCAGUCACACUGGAACUGAGACACGGUCCAGACUCCUACGGGAGGCAGCAGU